UGGGUGGCACAAGGCACAUGAAUGAUGCCCCCACAUGCACAGAGAAGCCAGCAGAAGGCAAAUGCGGUGCCUUGUGUCCCAACAACAGGCUAAAGGGGGAGAAAACUGAUGCUGGCUAAAUGACAAAGAACAAAAUCAAUAAGAGAAAAGAAAAAAAUAUUUUCACGUUCCUAAAAACAGCCACGGAGAUUAAAAUUAAAUUAGCCAUAGAGAAGCAAAGUAAAAAGCGGCUUUAAAAGUCCUUAACCACACGUCUCCUUCAAGCAUGGGGAAUCUGGACUUUCUGUCUGCUCUGCUUUCUUGAGAGAAGGAGGGUAUUUGUCAAAGCAGCAGCAACUUCACUUUGUCUCCACUGUCAGUGUAUCUGGAGUUGAAGAAGCUUAUUUUCUGCAAGUGCCUUCAGCCCCAGACAUGUCUGCAGUCUAUUUAUGUUUGGCUAAAACAAACGGAAUAAACAGUUGAGAGGAUAUCAUUCAUAUUGUGACGGGAGGGAGAAUAUAGGGCAUUCUUGACAUCCCGCAUAUACAAAUCAUCGAAUGUCUUUCUAACUAGCUGCACUUGUAAAUCAAUCCACGCACCCCUUCAGAAAGAAUCUGCUGUAAAGUGAUUUGACUUCAACUGGCAAUAGAUGAAUUGGACUAUUGAAGAGCUGUUCUUCUUGGGUUGUCUACAAAGUCAAUGCUGGUCCAUCGAGGUGGCCAUCCCAGGCGAUGGUCCUGGAAGCCACUAAACCCAGGCCUUGGAGAGGAAUGAAACACUGGGGCGGACACCCAGGGGAGUCUCUAGAGGAGCUAGAAGCAAGGCAGAACACACAGGUGAAGGGUUCAUCUGUCAGUAGUCGCGAUCUUGGCAAUGAUCUUGACACUCGUCCUGAGUCAUUCAACACAUAUUCAUUGAGCAUUUGCUAUGUGCCUGGCAGAAGUCUCCCUUUUUGGGUUGUAAGAAAUGGCCCAACCCACAAGAAGAGAACCUUGCAGAUAGCAUUGUCCCUCCCUAUUGUGACCAUCAGCCUCUACAGGAAAAUAUAGAGGGACACGUGCUCCCUAUGUGUCACUUCCCUGCCAGCUGAGACUUAAACGGACUUAGAAACUGAAAGCCCUGUUGAAUGGUCCUGAGUUUUUUAACCAUUUGCAGGGACUCCUUGAGACCUGGUCCUGCAGGCCAUGCAAAACAGUCACUAUCGGCUGGUUGUGAGCAAUGCCUCUCUCUCCCAGUAAUUCAUACAUUUAUUUUUUUUUUCAUUCAGCCUUCUAACACGUAUUGAGCCUACCAUCUUCUGGCCUCUGAGGCAACAGGGGCACCCAGAGGGGCAAGCCUGGGCUCUAGGAAGCUCACAGUGGCGGGAGCAGGCAGGAUAGUCACUGUGACUUGCGUCAUGCUUCCAGUGGGAGCUGAUGUUGCCCAACCUAGAGAUUUCUCGGCAGAACAUUUCUGCACAAACCUUAAAUGGUAUAGCAGGGAAACCCGAAUCGUUAAGUGAGAAUGCUGGUGUGGUUUUAAAUACUGAAUUAGCCAGAUAGUCUGCAUAAUCAUAAUCAUUAAUAAUAGCACGAUCACUUAUAGAGCACGUUCUCUGUGCCAAGCACUGUGUGCAACACGUUUCCCUUUUGCACCCAUUCCACAGUUACCGUAUCUCAUCUAAGCUAAGAGGCCGUUCCAUAAGACGCACUACUUACAGUUCGCAGCACUAAGAAAGAAAAAUGCUUAUAAUUUUAUAAUUAAAGCAUGACACACUGCCCUCCUGCUAUCACUUAGAAUUUCUAUUUUAUGCUUCCUGAAAGACUCCUUUAGACUUAUUUAAAAAAAAGAUCUUUACAAUUGAACACUCUUGUGUUUAUAUAAAAAGGAAAAGAUAAGCAAAAUAAAUUGGCUAAGGCCUUCCUGAAAUAGCUUCCGCCUGCCCCCUGGCAGCCAUUUUAAGACACCAUUGAUUGUAAGGUUCACCCUAAUUUCUGCGAUGUUAAAAUAUAAAAGGGAGGUCUUAGAAUCGAUGAGAUGCUGUUUGUAAUGUGCACACUACGCUCCGGGCUCUGAAAAAAAAUGCUGAAGAUACAGCAAAAGACACAAAGUGCCUGCCCUCGUGCAGUCUAAACGGCGGAGUCAAGGACUGAGCCAUUACACGUGUAAUUGUCGGAUUGCGAUUUCCAUGGGAGCCACCAGCAGAAAAGCCAUGAGACUGUGGAAGAGGAGAUCCUGACCUAGUCAGAAGCCCAGGAAAGAUCCUCCAAGGGCGGGACCGUUACACUAAGACUGGGACGUUGAUUAGGAAGGCAGAAAAAGAAUUAAAGAAAGAGAACAGUAGCAUUUGCUCAUUAACUCUUCUCAGUGGCCAUACAGGGUUGGUACUAAAAUUAUCCCCAUUUUACAGAUGAGGAAACUGAGACUCAGAGGGCUCAAGUAACUUGUGUAAAGAGGACACAGCUGGUAAGGGAUAGAGAGAGCCAGGAUCUUCCUCAUGUCAAACAACAACAAAUUGUCCGACUUGUUCAAAGGGGCAGACUUGGUUCUUGCUCCAUUAGAGAGAGGGGCGAGGGGAAAGACUCCCAACCGUAAAGAGAUUCUUCAGUGUAAAUCUAGACAUUAUCAAGGAGUUUUAAUACUAACAAAGAAAGAGCUUAUGUCAUAGACUCCCUAUAUCCUGGAAUCAGGGACUGCAGUAUUAUAGGACCAGUGACAUAGAAUGAUAUAUUGUAAUAAAUGAACAUGUUUGGAAUUUUCUUGCAAGCAAUUAGAAAGUUUUUAAAUGGCCGGAUUAAGUAACUUUAGGAAACAUUUGAUAACCCUGGUCAUAUGUCAUUUAUAGCCCAGAGCCUGCAUGGUUGUAGACCACCCUGGCUGAAAGCAUGGGCCCAUUAAGAAGUUUUCUGAUUAGAAGACAUCUGUGCGUUUACUGGAAGCAUUUCUGUGUUUCUGCUCUUAAAUUUACUUCUAUAUAUAGAACUGCAUCGGUUUUGCAAAAAAGGCUAGCACACUGUUGGAAGUCUGAGAAGCAAGACCACUUCCCGGGACCUACUUUUUAUCAGAGAAUAGAAUGCAGGUACAAACAACCAACCCAGAAAGAUUCUGGUGGGUGGAUAAGUCUUGCUCACUUUAUGGAGUUAAAAAAUGUCAAAGGUUCUUUAAAUAUCCAUUGAGUUAUUCAACAAAAUUUUUUGAGUACCUACUAUGUGCCGUGCACAUAGGUGCUUACACACAGCAUCAAGCCUCAUAGGCGAAGACCCCUGCUCUAUGGAGCUUGCAAACAAAGAACGAUCACCAUUAACAACAGACGUAGUACAGAAGUCAAUUCUAGAGUAAGGUAGAAGUUGGUAAGUGCAAAGGCCAAAGAAAAAGAGAACAGAAAAAGGGAAUGGACAGUCCUGAGACCGCGGGGAGGCAGGUUGCGAUUUCAAACAGGGUGAUGGGAGUGAGCUUUGUUAGGAAGGGAUAUUUAAGCAAAGAGGUGAAGGAUGUUAUUAGGGCAAAGCACAGAGGGAACGGGCCAGUCCAGAGGCCUAAAAUGGGAGAGUUUCUGGGUUGUUGGAGAAAUAGCAACGACGUCAGAACGGCUGGAGCAGAAAACCCAGGAGUCGGAGAAAGGGUGAGAGAGCCAGUGGAGAACCAACACACAGGGAAACCCGAGGGCCACUGGGAGAACGUUGGCGUUCCCUUGGAGUGGGGGGAAUGUCCCUUUGGAGGUUUUGAGCAGGGAGGUGACAUGAUCUGGCGUAUCUUUAUUCCCACUGCUAAGAGUGUUAAGAAGUGACGGUAAGUAGCAAGGAUGGAACAGAUUCCUGGAGGAUUCAAGGUGGUGUGAGAGGAAAAGCCCAGCUGGGACCAUUUUUUACUUGCAGCCCCCAAGGACUGCACUUCAUAACCUGCUGUGUCAUUGCAGAAUGUUGAAGUGGGAAAGGCUUGGGCCGUGGACCUGUGGGCUUGGUUUCACGCCCCACCUCUGCCAGCGUCUACCAGAGAGUCACGUGCGUCCCCUCUGUUAGCCCUCACCUCUAAAAUAAAGAUUAAAAUGCCCACUCCACGGGAUUAUUUCCAAAAUAAAAUGCACCUUUUAUCGAAUUAAUCAUACAUAUUUAUUAGAUUGUAAACCAUACCAGGCUCACAGUAGGUGCUUCAGAAAUAUCAGAAGGGAAGCUCUUCCUUCAUAUCCCCACCCCAAUACCAAGAAAGAGAUUUCAUAAAAUGCAAAUUCUGUCAUCUGGAAGCUAUUUAGAAUUACAAGCUUUAUUUUAAGUUGGUUUGCCUGAGUAAUUAAUUCAAAGUUAAGAUUUUAUUGGUGAGGUGCCCAGGAUUUAGCAACCAAGUUAGUUGAACAUGAAAGGUCUUUAAGGAUGAAAGAUAAAAUAAAGUCUGUUCUGUUACAGCUCAUAUUCCUAUAAAGCAGAUUAGUUCGUUCCUGAUUGGAAAGUCAGUCAAUGAUAUGAACAUAAUGAGAACGCCACAUUGACUCACUGUGAUUUUUCCCAACACGUUAUUGUUUAGCACCGAGCAACAGUGGCCAAAUACAAAGUUCACCAACACAGCUGAAUGUAGCGAGCUCUAGAGAACCAUCAGUUGCUCAAAGGCCUGUCUUCCUCUUGGCUCCAGCUGACCACAUAAGUCUGCCUCGGAAGUCUUAUUGUCACCUCCCCCUGGUUUUUAAAAAUGUUGACCUGUCAUUCCCUAAUUUCACUACCUCCUUAAACUCCUUUCUACCCAACUGCAGUUGCUUCUUUAUUUACAAGGUGAAGUCUUUUAUUUGCUGUGGCAUUCCUUUAUUUAUUAUGAAUUGAACACGUGUUUUCAACUGAACCAGUAUUUUUAUUAUGUUUGUUAUUGCUUGGUUAUUCCCUGCAUGCUUAGUUGCUUACUUUUUAAGUGGUCUAUCCUAACCUUAUUUUUCCCAUAAGUGCUAUAAUUUUGAGACAAAGCUUUGCGAAAUGCAAGGUUUGCUUAGGAGCAGGCAUUGCAUUUGAGCAGAAACACGCACACCUGUGCCGUCCACAGUGGCACCAACCGGGCGGGGCGCAGUUGGAAACUGGCGUGUGCUGAGUUCACGAGCUGGAGCUCGCGGCCGGGAGAGGCGCUGGCUCCGGAGUCCUAAUGAGCUCACUUCGAAGCUGGCGUCUCCCAAUUUCUGGCUAUGUGGCCUUAGGACAGUUGUUUAACCUCUGGAAGCCUAUAGUCCUUCGUCUUCAAAAAUGGAACUAGUAAUAAUAUCACCCCCACCACUGGAGUGUUGUGUGGCUAAACUGAAACAACCCACGUGAAGCGGUGACUAAGGGACAGCUAUUGGGACAUCGCACACAUGGAAGCCGUCUGUAAGCAAACGGGGCUCUGAUGAAGUGGUACAGACUAUGUUGUCUUCGCAGCAGAAUGAGGUCAGGUGGAGCUCUCAAAAUCAAUGCCUCUAAUUGAUUCAAACAGACCUGUUUUUGUGUGUUUGGAGCUCAGCUUAACUCUCUGGAUCACGCACAGCCGAGUGAUGGUAGAAGCCUCCAAACCGAACAGAGAAGAACGUUGUUUCCUGCUGUUUCACUCCCUACAGCUGGACGGCAGGCCCAGACCCAGUUUAUCUGUGCAAAAAUGAUAUUGAGUAUAUGCAUACGCCCGUGUGUGUGUGUGUGUGUGUGUGUGUGUGUGUGUAUUUGGGUGUCUUUCCUGUACAUAUGAAAAAUAUAGCUGAAGGAAAGAUAAUGCCCAUGGCUGGCGAAGAUGAGAUCAUUUGUAAGUGGCUUGUUAAAGCGCACAUCAUUUUCCUGAUCAGCGGUAGUGAGGCUGCAUCUUUAAGAGCUGAUGUGAUUUAUCAUGUUAUUAUAUAUUUAGGGACUUUUUGAAAAUGCUGUUAUUUACUCAACCGACUGUGUAUAUAGACUAUUUAAAGCAGAUUUUUGACCCAGUAGACUGUACCAGCCCCAUCUACUGUCUCCACGAGCACAGGGGGGGGAUCUUCACUAUGCAGAUUAUUGACACAAUAGACUGUGUGCACUGCACACAUGCCCUAGACAGGUACAGCCAGGUCACUGGGGAUGACAUGUUUCUAGACAGCAUUUCCAAGGUAGACUCUUGCAUAUAGCACAGCUCUGUGGGAAAUUGUACGUCUGGAUGGAGGGGACUUUGGCUUCGAAGGGAAAUUUUUGGUUUCCAGAAACAGGGUGUUCUUAUUAGCAUAACUUGAUGUUCUGCCCUUUUGUCUAUGAACAUAUAAAUAAUAAUAUCUCCCUUCUACUGAACGCCAAACAAUGCCACCAAGAGUUUGAGCUUGUUCUACUCUGACGUGUGGAGAAGACAUUCUGUUCGAGCUAGUGCAAGUUCGUUCUUUGGUUCAGAGUGUAUAUUGAGCACCAUUUAUCUGACAGUGGGGUCUUUGCGAGCAACAAAUAUUAUCUUUGGCAAACUUGAGUUAAAACAAGGAAUUUGUUGGGAGGAAUUUGGCAGUGUCUAGAGACAUUUUGGUUGUCACACCUGGGCGUGGGGAUGUCCCUGGCAUUCAUUCCCCGCCAUGGACCACCUGGACAGGAGCACCCUCUGUCGUAUAGUGGAUCCACCCUGACCAUUUUUCCAUCUUUGGGUUGAAUUCAUCUUCGAGUCAGAAUUCAAAUUCCAUGGAGCAAGAGUUUAAUUGGCCAAGCUGGUAUCUUGUGCCCAUACUAACACACACACUCUCUCACACACACAUGCAAAUACCAACAAAAAGGGAAAGAAAAGGGAAAGUCCUUGAGUUUUUGUUUCACCUUAAAUUAUCAGAUGUGUAAACACACACACGUGCACACACAGCACACACACAGGUUAUCUGGAUUGUUCUUGUUGGAAAACAGUCCAGAUGCCCUGGAGUCUCAUAAAAUUAAACUUGCAGGGGCCAGAGUCUGUGCUGUGUCAUCUCCUUCCCAGUGUGGCUGUAAGGGAGCAGAUUUACACAGCCUGGACCUGACCAUAUCAUUCUUAACCUCAGUCCCAAGGUGAUCUUAUGCCUUAAAAAGCAAAAUAAGCUAAACUACCUACUUUAACAUAAAAAGGGGGGAAUGGGUGAUUUCCAUGAUUAACUCAGCCAAAUUGCAAAAACAGGAGGGCAAGGCAGGGCAACCUUGCCAAGGUGGCCCACAGUAGGGAUGGAUGGUGGUUAGACAAAAACUGGGAAUAGUUACCUCAAGAACUGUGCCUAGCACCAAGGACAAAGCAAUGAAUGAGACAGAUAAGUGCCUGCAUUUGUGGGCUCAUGUUCAAAUCGAGGAGAAAGAUUUCCAAUGCAGGGUCUUUCAGCCUUGGCACUGUUUAUGGGCAUUUGGGCUGGAUCAGUCUUUUCUGUGUGGGGCUGUCCUGUGCAUUGUUGGAUGCCUAGCAGAGUCCCUGGUGUCUACCCACUGGAUGCCAGGAACAUCCCCUCCCCCUAGAUGUGACAACCAAAAUGUCUCUAGACAUUGCCAAAUGCCCCCAGGGGGCAAAAUUACCACCCCCCAGCUGAGUCACAAAGGACAUGACAGACAAUACCGCAGGAAGGGGUGCUGGGAUCCCAAGUGUGUCUCUACUUUGGUGUCCUUGAGGGAAGCUGGGACCCUCCCUGGGUAAAUGCUGCCUCUGCCGCUCUGUUUAAGGAAGAUUCUGGAAUCCUGGCUGUGUGUACAAUCGCAUGUAAUCACGGAAUACCAAGCAGGCAAGGAGAGAUAACAGCGCUUAUUGGGUGCUUACCAUGUGCCCAAACACUCCUGGUGCUGGGCACGCAAAGAUGAACACUGAUAUCCUCCUUGCUUUUAAAGAGCUUACCAUUUGGGAGAUUUGGACAGAUCGUACCAUGGUGGAAACACGGCUCAACUCCUAGCGGGAGGGAUGGAAAGGUGUGUGGUGGCGGCAGUCAUGUUGGUGAAGAAUCCGGCAUGAAGGUGACUUGGAGGUUCAAUAUCUGAGCCACUGAAGGAUACCAAGGCCAGGAAACCCUUCCCCGACUGAGGAAUUGGCCCAAUGACAUAAAAGGUCUUUCCACCUCA